GUAGCGCUAGCUAAAUGGGAAGGAAUAUUAAACACAACGAAAAAUGAAAAAAUUUGUUACCAAGGUGGAGACGUCUACAUACCGAUUCCCGAAUUAAACCCAACGGAAGACUGUUUGUACUUGAAUGUUUACACUCCUCUGAAACCUGGAGAUACUUCACAAACCCCAUUACCGGUGUUAAUAUGGAUACACGGAGGUGGAUUU